GUACUGGCCCAAUGCUCUAACCACUUGGGUACCUGCCGCCUCGAAUUGAAUUGAGAGAGACAGUGAAUGGGAAGGAGAGAGUAGAGACGUGAGAGAGAGAAGGAGAAUAUAAGUUGUGUAGUUCUAGAGAAGGUAUAGGUUUGGGUAACCUUGUCCUCUGGAAAUCUGGUGCACGACACUAGAUUAUAGGUCCAGACCACGACGUCACGAUUUGUUAUGAUUAGACGUUGCUGUUUCAGCACUUCUUCCGCCGAGGAGUCAGUUGACUGGGAGUUCUUGGAGUUUUACGAUCUAACCAGUCCGGUGACACCGCGAGAGAGGCGGUAAGCAGAGAGAGAUAGUGAAAGCCGCAGAGAGAGAUAGUGAAAGAGGAUCGCCUACUACUAUGGCUCCGUUGCAGUUCGCGGUGUACUGGCGUCUCGCGCUCAUAUUCUUCUUCAUGGCGUUUCUCUUCUUCCUCGACCUCUUCGCCGUUAGCAGAGCAACCUCCUCGUGCAAUAACGUCCCGGGUGAGUUACCGGCUCGAACCUUUGGAGAAGUAUCUUCUAGUGCCCAUACACAGAACUGGACUACAUGGGAGGUGCGCGAGGUAAACGGAUCAGUUUUACAGGUAUUGUUACCGCAACAGGAUGAGAUUACGGGUGGGAACGACACGGAAAGAGAGAAUUGUGUGUUACAGGGUACAGUGUGUAUGGAUCCGGAGGUGAUGUCGUACAGUCAGACCAUCUACAUGACUGGCCUUCUGCUGGGAUCUCUGUUCGGAGGAGCUCUCUCUGACAGGUACGGUAAGCGAGCAGUGCUGCUGGUGUGUGUGUGUGUUAAUGCCGUGACUGCUGUGCUGCCGGCAGUCCUUCCUCACGCCCUCCUCUUCCUCACCCUGCGCUGUUUGGCCGGGGUCUCCUGCUGCUGUAUCAAUAUCUGCAGCUUCAGCCUGGGUGUGGAAUGGAGUCUUCCCAGGUAUCGUAUUUGGCCCCCGGCCCUCCUGUCCUUCUCCUUCAGCCUGGGUAUGAUGGCGUUGGCACCACUGGCGUACCUAACACACACCUGGACACAGCUACACCUGGGACUGGCCGUACCACAGAUCCUCUGUCUGCCUCUCUUCUAUUCUAUUCCUGAGUCUCCUCGCUGGCUGCUCCUGAAGAGGAGAGCAGAGACUCUGGAGGCAUAUAGGAGACACAGUCCUGAGGACAAACGCUUUCUAGACCUGUUGUUGGACACAGAGGGGAAGGACCUGCAGGAAGUCCACCUGGAGACACACACACUGGAGACUGGCACACCUGACAAUGAGACACACCCACUUGAGACUGACACACCUGACAGUGAGACACACACACUGGAGACUGACACACCUGACAAUAAGACACACACACCAAAGGCAGACACACAAACAUGGGAGGAACACACACUUUCCCACUGCGGACACAUGAGAAGUCCCACCAUCCUACUGCGCCUGGUCAUCUUGAGUUACAUUGGGCUAGCAUCAGCCCUGACGUACUACGGUAUCUGUAUGAAUGUCGGGCGGUUCGGGGUGGAUGUCUUCCUGGCUCAGUUCUUCAGCGGCCUAUCAGAGGCUCCCUGCCUGCUCGUCCCAUUCCUAUUGGCUCGCUGGGGCAGACGCCCAAUCAGCAUGCUAUCCCUGUUCCUCAGUGGCUCCUUCUGCCUGCUGUCCCUGCUCGCAUCACGCUUCUACGCUGUCCCAGGGUUGGUGAUAACUCUGGCCCUGGUGGGGAAGCUGUGUAUGCAGACCACUGUGUUUGUCUCUGUACUCUACGGCAUCGAACUCUUCCCUACGCUCAUCAGACAGAAGUGUGUGGGCUUGGUGUGUCUGUGUUACAGGGUGGGCUGUAUCCUGAAUGCGGUGAUCAGUCCUAGAGGAGAAACCAUCCCAUUGGCCGCUAUGAUCCUUUAUGGGAGUGGCCCCAUUGUUGGGGCAGGACUGUGUCUGUUUCUACCGAAACCAGUGGUGUGCCGCUCCCUGAUUCGCUGGAGGACUGUGACAGACAGCCCAGUCUUCAUCUACCAACCUUCCCUUCCCUUUGGUCUUCAGAGGAAAUGUUUGGUGAUCGACUAGAAAUGCCUUGGAGGUGGCGAUCAACUGGUUGGUGACUUGUUGUCUCUCUUCAGUGCGUCGUCAACAGCAGCUGACUGUGAAAUGCUAUACUCAAGAGUUCACAGGCAGCUGGUGCUCAGCGGAUGCCCCAGCUGACAAAGCCUGUCCAUUCCUGGGAGACACAGACCCAGAGAAGCCCUCCCACAACCCACAGGAUCUCAACUGACUCAAAUUGCACAUACUCACACACACACACCACAAACACACACAUGCUGUAGAUACAUGUAUUUGAAGUUCCAUGGUGCUCAGUUGGUACAGAACACAAUAAACUGGGAGGUACUACCUGAACUUUGAACAAUAAACAUUGCACUACAUUUUGCGACGUUGUUCCCUACUGAACACGACCCUGGUUCUAGUGUUUUAUAGGUUUGAUCCUGUAUCUCCCACAGCCUGUAGAGGCUUGCUGAGAGUGUGUUUAAACACAGACCUGUCUGUGAGAUGUGAGGAAACAUUGCUAAUGUAGCAUUGUAUAAACAGCUCUGCACGAAGGUUGUGUGUGUGCAUUUUCUGUACGUGUGUGUUAUCCUCGCACAAUCAUGAACCUUCCUUGCACCUUGCUUACAUUUCUACACUGUGUUUCAUAUCAAGUUGACUUGAGAUGGGGGGGGGCUGUCUUAUCAUAAAGGGUGUGGUCUUGUUGCUGUAUGUUUGGUAUUGAAAUCAGAUGUCUGUAGUUAUGUGUAGGAAUGUUGUCCUGUCUGGUGGCAGGGUCAGGCUGUUGAAAUGACCAAUUGUUUCCCAUGAUAUGCUGUUGUGUGUUCUUAUAGGCAUUUGACAUGCUGAGGAAUGUUCUCCUGUACAGUCUGUAGAUUUCCUGUUCUUUGCUAUUAAAUUAAAAAAAAUAGCA